rnacentral:snoRNA from 1 species
AAGCAGGAAAGUUAUAAUACGGCUGUGUGGUGCUGUAUUAUCGUUCCCCCUGCUUAAAGAAAACUGCUUCCUUCUAUCCCUGCCUGCCUCCUCCCACGGCAGGUGGGGACGCUGGGUUUCAGACAU